AUACGGAGGAUCCGAGCGUUAUCCGGAUUUAUUGGGUUUAAAGGGUGCGCAGGCGGGGGAUUAAGUCGGCGGUGAAAUUUUUCAGGUUUACUGUAAAAGGGCCUUCGAAACUGGUUUUCUUUGGUGGAGAUGAAGGAGGCGGAAUUUGGGGUGUAGCGGGGGAAUGCAUAGAUAUGACGAGGAACUCCUAUUGCGAAGGCAGCUUGCUGGGUCGUUACUGACGCUGAUGCUCGAAGGUGCGGGGAUCAAACAGGAUUAGAUACCCUGGUAGUCCGCACAGUAAACUAUGGAUACUCUCUGCCGGCGAUAUAUUGUCGGUGGCCAAGCGAAAGCGUUAAGUAUCCCACCUGGGGAGUACGUUCGCAAGAAUGAAACUCAAAUGAAUUGACGGGG
rnacentral:rRNA from 1 species